GCCCGUUUGGCUUAGGGGUACAGCGUCGCACUCGUAGCAACUAAUAUCUGCGUUAUGCGAAGAUCCGCGGUUCGAUUCCGCGAAUGGGCA